GUCGCAGAUGAACCCUAAUAACUUCGAACUGGAAGCACAGAGGACGAUGGAACAAUUAGCUCCCAAGUAUGGGAUCAGUUAUGCAAGUGGAAGCUUCCUAUACGAUAUCAUCCAGUUCGGAACGUACCUGCAGCAUCAGGGCAUGUGGAGUGUGUACGAAGUAUGAGAUGUUUCCUUUUGGAGCACUCUGCAGACACAGUUGAGAAUCCGUUGCUACAGGGUUGUACAUGAACACAAUUGCAGUGGACAGCUUUCCGUCGUAUAGUACCUGCGUUUUUGAAUUAUUAAUCAGUUAUUAUUGGUUAUUUCUUUUUUUUUGUUGGAAUCAUUACAACGGUGAGUACAAUAUUACUGAGAACAUUAGCAGUAUCGAACAAUCAAUGCGCUACAGCAGUAAAAUAAAGACUUAUUAUCUGACAGAUUAAACGACAAGGUAUUGCUGAUUGGUGAUAAUACAAAAGAAUUAUACGUUGUAUAUACUAUUUCAAAAACUACAGACUUUGUCUUUCAUUUUGUCUUGUCUUUUCAUUUUGAUCUCAUUAAUUGUAAGAGAAUCUACCAUAAUUAUUAUUGAUUGCUAUCUGUCAGUCAAUAAAUCUUGCUCGACUAAUAAUACAAAACUGUUUAUUAUAUACAUAAAAAAAUACAGUACAAGCAAAAAUAUUUGGAAUACCCUACAGCCAAUUAAAACUUAAUGCAAAUUCAAAACGUAUACAUAUCCUACAUGCUGAUAAAAAUAUUGGUUUACUAAUAUAAAUAAUUUAAUGAAAAUAUAGUCAAUCGUCAGCCAUAUCAAAGUUAUGCCAAAUAAACAAAGGUAAGCACCAGAUUACUCCCAUCAAGAAAAGUCUAAGAAAAUUGUGAUACUAAGCACGCAAUUCAUAGAUGACAUUCCUAUUCAUACCAAAAGUUGACGGAUGCAAUGUAAAUCUUUGUUUAUUACACGAAGCACUUGAUGCUCUGUUCUUGGUCGUUAUACGAAGUUGGUAGAUACGUUAAAGUGGUGAUAAAAUAGUUAUGGGCCAAAGCGACCCUAGUAAGGCGGCUAAACCGAAAUUAAUACGAAAUAAUAAAACAAAAUAAAAAUG